rnacentral:rRNA from 1 species
UCACUCGGCAUACUUAGUACGGCGAGUGAAGCGGUAAAAGCUCAAAUUUGAAAUCUGGUACUUUCAGUGCCCGAGUUGUAAUUUGUAGAAUUUGUCUUUGAUUAGGUCCUUGUCUAUGUUCCUUGGAACAGGACGUCAUAGAGGGUGAGAAUCCCGUUUGGCGAGGAUACCUUUUCUCUGUAAGACUUUUUCGAAGAGUCGAGUUGUUUGGGAAUGCAGCUCAAAGUGGGUGGUAAAUUCCAUCUAAAGCUAAAUAUUGGCGAGAGACCGAUAGCGAACAAGUACAGUGAUGGAAAGAUGAAAAGAACUUUGAAAAGAGAGUGAAAAAGUACGUGAAAUUGUUGAAAGGGAAGGGCAUUUGAUCAGACAUGGUGUUUUUUGCAUGCACUCGCCUCUCGUGGGCUUGGGCCUCUCAAAAAUUUCACUGGGCCAACAUCAAUUCUGGCAGCAGGAUAAAUCAUUAAGAAUGUAGCUACUUCGGUAGUGUUAUAGCUUUUUGGAAUACUGUUAGCCGGGAUUGAGGACUGCGCUUCGGCAAGGAUGUUGGCAUAAUGGUUAAAUGCCGCCCGUCUUGAACCCCCCGAAACCA